rnacentral:tRNA from 1 species
GAGGGUAUAGCUCAGUGGUAGAGUACCUGCUUAGCAUGCAGGAGGUCCUGGGUUCAAUUCCCCAGGACCUCCA